UUUCCCUUAGGAUAGUUGGUGCUCUCCCAAAACCCAACCCACACAGUUUUAUCCAGUAAAGUUAAUAUUAGAGGUCCUGGGGCCAAAAUGAUCUCAACCUAUUCUCAAACUUUAAAUGGGUAAGAUUAUUAUUGUUGUUAUUUUUAUUUAAUUUAAUUAAUUA
rfam:Pan troglodytes isolate Yerkes chimp pedigree #C0471 (Clint) chromosome 8, whole genome shotgun sequence.